GAACCGUCCAAACGUUAUUCGGAAUUACUGGGCUUAAAGGGUGCGUAGGCGGCUUGGCAAGUUGGGUGUGAAAUCCCUCGGCUCAACCGAGGAACUGCGCUCAAAACUGCCAAGCUAGAGGAAGAUAGAGGUGAGCGGAACUAAUGGUGGAGCGGUGAAAUGCGUUGAUAUCAUUAGGAACACCUGUGGCGAAAGCGGCUCACUGGGUCUUUUCUGACGCUGAGGCACGAAAGCUAGGGUAGCGAACGGGGAUUAGAUACCCCGGUAGUCCUAGCUGUAAACGAUGAGCACUAGGUUGGAGGCUCCUCCAUAGGCUUCCGACCGAAGCGAAAGUGUUAAGUGCUCCGCCUGGGGAGUAUGGUCGCAAGGCUG
rnacentral:rRNA from 1 species